GUAAAGCCCACAUAGUGAUAAGAUGGCCAUCAUGAAAUGAUUCGUUAUUUCUGUGACCACAGUUACAGGCUAGUCCUGGAUGUGAGUUAGUUAUAAUUUCCAGAAAGUAAAUGCUUGUCUUUGUCAGCACAGACUCAAGCUGGGUGAACAAUUUGUGAUGCUAACAGUGAUUAGCUCUAUGUGUGACCUCAGCUGUCUGUAUGUUAUAGUUCCAAUUUGGAUUGUUUCAGCCUCCGGCAUGUGACCUCUCCAUACCUCACACACUUGCCCCAGAUGGUGUUUCAUCAGCUGUGACCCCAGCAGGCCAUUGGCUGUGGUGAAGAGGUUGAUGGGUGACGAUCCGUCUGUGAUGAGGGUGGACUUCAACCCCAGAGCCUGGAGCAGCUUCACCUGGAGGACAAGACACACUGUCAAAAGACACAAACCCCUCCCACCUUCCUGUGAUGCCAGUGACCCCGUGUUUACCUGAGUGCCUCCAACUCCAGUAGCUCCUUCCUG